rnacentral:tRNA from 1 species
GAAUAUGAAGCGAUUAAUUGCAAUUAGUUUCGACCUAAUUUUAGGUA